rnacentral:lncRNA from 1 species
UUAUAAAAUAAGAAAAAUAUAUUAAAUAAUAAUUUUCUUUACAUUAUGUAUUUUGAAAAAUGUCAUCAUUUAAUUCCCCAAUCAAGUCGCCAUUCAGAUACUACGUAGAAGCAAAGUCGGCAUGAGUCUGAUCCUCGUGAAACUGAAUACAACCGUAUUAGCAAAUGGGAGGGUACAGCUCAGACACUACAACUCUAGCAAUGCGCAAGUCUUUACAUUUUACAUAUUCGAGGACAUAUAGACAGAAUAAUUACGUGACACACAUCACAAGAUGGAACUGUAUAAUAGAGGAGAAAAUGAAUCCCGGUUUAACAUAUUCACUUUCAGGCGCUCAGUGACAUGGAAAUGAUUGAUGACAGCUUAUAUUUUCGCACUUUUGUACAAUUCUGAGGCUGAAAUACCACCUCAGUGCUUGACCUUACUGUCACUUCUU